rnacentral:rRNA from 1 species
GAUGAACGCUAGCGGGAGGCCUAACACAUGCAAGCCGAGCGGUAUUGUUUCUUCGGAAAUGAGAGAGCGGCGUACGGGUGCGGAACACGUGUGCAACCUGCCUUUAUCUGGGGGAUAGCCUCUCGAAAGGAAGAUUAAUACUCCAUAACAUAUUGAUUGGCAUCAAUUGAUAUUGAAAGCUCCGGCGGAUAGAGAUGGGCACGCGCAAGAUUAGCUAGUUGGUGAGGUAACGGCUCACUAAGGCGAUGAUCUUUAGGGGGCCUGAGAGGGUGAUCCCCCACACUGGUACUGAGACACGGACCAGACUCCUACGGGAGGCAGCAGUGAGGAAUAUUGGUCAAUGGGUGCAAGCUUGAACCAGCCAUCCCGCGUGAAGGACGACUGCCCUAUGGGUUGUAAACUUCUUUUGUAUAGGGAUAAACCUACCCUCGUGAGGGUAGCUGAAGGUACUAUACGAAUAAGCACCGGCUAACUCCAUGCCAGCCGCCGCCGUAAAAC